CGAAGGGGGCGAGCGUUGUUCGGAUUUACUGGGCGUAAAGGGCGCGCAGGCGGCUUGUCAAGUCAGGCGUGAAAGCCCCGGGCUUAACCUGGGAGGUGCGCUUGGGACUGGCGAGCUAGAGAUCGGGAGAGGAGAGUGGAAUUCCCAGUGUAGAGGUGAAAUUCGUAGAUAUUGGGAAGAACACCGGUGGCGAAGGCGGCUCUCUGGACCGAUACUGACGCUGAGGCGCGAAAGCGUGGGGAGCAAACAGGAUUAGAUACCCUGGUAGUCCACGCCGUAAACGAUGUGUGCUAGACGUUGGGGAGCCUAGCUCUUCGGUGUCGCAGCUAGCGCUUUAAGCACACCGCCUGGGGAGUACGGCCGCAAGGUUA
rnacentral:rRNA from 1 species